UACGUAGGGUGCGAGCGUUGUCCGGAAUUACUGGGCGUAAAGAGCUCGUAGGUGGUUUGUCGCGUUGUUCGUGAAAACUCACAGCUCAACUGUGGGCGUGCGGGCGAUACGGGCAGACUAGAGUACUGCAGGGGAGACUGGGAUUCCUGGUGUAGCGGUGGAAUGCGCAGAUAUCAGGAGGAACACCGGUGGCGAAGGCGGUUCUCUGGGCCUGUACUGACGCUGAGGAACGAAAGCGUGGGGAGCGAAACAGG
rnacentral:rRNA from 1 species